GUGUGGCUCUAUGAUGACCAUUUUUUUCCCCGGCAGAUCGACUCUGUUGAGUAACUUAUUGUAUUAAGCCAAUGUUGUCUGAAACGCACAC